GAGGUAGGAGGCGGAGCGGAGGAAAGGCUUCCCGACCGGGGGAAGCUGGUGAUUGAGCCGCGCCAAUAUCUCUCGCGCGCCAGUGGAAUUGCCGGCUUCAGCUGCUUUCGCCGCCGCAGC